GAUGAACGCUGGCGGCGUGCCUAAUACAUGCAAGUCGAGCGAACAGAUGAGGAGCUUGCUCCUCUGACGUUAGCGGCGGACGGGUGAGUAACACGUGGAUAACCUACCUAUAAGACUGGGAUAACUUCGGGAAACCGGAGCUAAUACCGGAUAAUAUAUUGAACCGCAUGGUUCAAUAGUGAAAGACGGUUUUGCUGUCACUUAUAGAUGGAUCCGCGCCGCAUUAGCUAGUUGGUAAGGUAACGGCUUACCAAGGCAACGAUGCGUAGCCGACCUGAGAGGGGGGUCGGCCACAAUGGAAAUGUGACACGGAACAGACGAAGACGUGAGGCAGCAGUGGGGAAUGUGCGGCAAUGGGCGAAAGAAUGAAAGAGAAACGUAGAGGGAAAGAAGUAGGUUUUAGGAUCGUAAAACCCUGUUAAUAGGGAAGAACAAAAGUGCAAGUAAUAAUGAACGUCUAGACGGUACCUAAUCAGAAAGCCAGGACUAAUCACGA
rnacentral:rRNA from 1 species